GUGGGGAAUCUUGCGCAAUGGGCGAAAGCCUGACGCAGCCAUGCCGCGUGAAUGAUGAAGGUCUUAGGAUUGUAAAAUUCUUUCACCGGGGACGAUAAUGACGGUACCCGGAGAAGAAGCUCCGGCUAACUUCGUGCCAGCAGCCGCGGUAAUACGAAGGGGGCUAGCGUUGCUCGGAAUUACUGGGCGUAAAGGGCGCGUAGGCGGACAGCUUAGUCAGAGGUGAAAGCCCAGGGCUCAACCUUGGAAUUGCCUUUGAUACUGGCUGUCUUGAGUUUGGGAGAGGUGAGUGGAACGCCGAGUGUAGAGGUGAAAUUCGUAGAUAUUCGGAAGAACACCAGUGGCGAAGGCGACUCACUGGCCCAAUACUGACGCUGAGGCGCGAAAGCGUGGGGAGCAAACAGGAUUAGAUACCCUUGUAGUCC
rnacentral:rRNA from 1 species